rnacentral:rRNA from 1 species
UGAGUAACCUGCCUUCAGCUUUGGGAUAACCCUCGGAAACGGGGCUAAUACCGGGUAUUCACUCUGGGUGGCAUCGUUUGGGGUGGAAAGUUUUUCGGCUGGGGAUGGGCUCGCGGCCUAUCAGCUUGUUGGUGGGGUAAUGGCCUACCAAGGCGGCGACGGGUAGCCGCCCUGAGAGGGCGACCGGCCACACUGGGACUGAGACACGGCCCAGACUCCUACGGGAGGC